UUUUCUUCCUUUUGGCAACAUUAUGUUAUGUUUGUUUCUGUUUAUACACAUGCCUGUCUGUAUCUUAUACACACACAACAGGUUUAGCACGGAAAGACAUGUCCACUUCAAUGCAUUGGUAUAAAUGGAUGACCGACGUUCAGAUGUACUAAGUUAUACAGCAAAUUUUGGAGCAUAAAGGGUGUGUAUAUUUACUUUUCCUUUGAUGCGUAAUUUGUAUAAAGGUAAUACUAAAAUUAUAUAUGUUUGUUUCUGUUCUUACACAUGCAUUUUUCUAUGUAUACACUUAACAGGGUUACCAUGGAAACGUACCUCUUAAACUAAACAAUGGUAUGUAUAUUUUCGCUUCGUUAUACUGUAUGUUUAGUGUUUGCUGUUUUGUCAGGGAUUUGUUUACAGUGGCUACUUGGUUGUUUCUGUGGUGGUGUUUGUUGUGGUGUUUGGUGUGUUUGUUGUGGUGUUUGUUGUGGUGUUUUCGUGUUUAUGGAGGUGUCUGUGGUGGUUUCAGUGUGGUCUUCUCGGUUUUGUUCUUGUUGGUUGUAUUGUUUGGUUGAAAACGGGUAUUUGGUGCGUUUUAUUUGUUGUAUUUGGUUCUUUGUCAUGGUGUUUUUCUUUCUGCCAUUAACAAUGUAUUAUUACUCGCUUUGUAUACCGUAGAAAACUAUUAGAAUAAGUUAAAUAUUAUAUUGUGUUAUAUUAACUUUACUUGUCCAGCAAAUUUUAUAUACCCAGGAACACGUAUCAAGAUAUAUGCAGACGAAUAGGCACCAUGUACAGACGACAACUUGGACUGGGAAGCGUGCGCCAUUGUUUUAUUUCUGCUUUUUAUUCCUUUAGUUUUGCAUUUUGUUGCGUUUUUAUAUUAUACUAUUUAGUAUGCAUCUCUUUGCAGAAUUUUUAAGUUGAAUACAAGCAGGUGUAAAGAUGUCGCACUGUAGAUGACACAACGGUCCAGUGGAUGGUGAAGAUAGCGCGGCUGAUGUUGACUGUACAGACACGCGUUAAGAUGUCAUGCUGUAGCUGUGACAAUGGUUUAGUGGACGACGCAGCUUGGUUCUUCUUCUCGGACGCACUGAGUAUUCAGUCAGCAGAGCAUUAAGAAAGCAAAGGUCACUUUUCCACUUGGAGUAAUUCACAGUAGCAUGGGAAUGCGGACAUACAUCCUGGUUUUGGUGAAAGAAAUGCUCGAACUAUCCGACGAGAAGCAAUUUCUUGGAUUAUACACGAAGAAAAUGUUAUUUGAUGGAAAAAUAGUGGCAGUAGAACUACCUUGCUGGUACCCUAACGAAGCCGGUCACCAGAUGUGCAUUGAAACCCUAUCGAACCCUUGCGUUAACAUGGUAAUCAGCCGUUAUCAACAAGGCAAGAUAGUGGCUGCAUGGUUAAAGUGGAAUUCAAGCCUUGGUGGACCUUUCUUCUGUAAAUGUCCCGUCUUGUUGAUGGUAGACAGCUGUUCAACACCUCGUACACAACAGAGAAACCCCCUCGGACGAAGACUUCGUUCAGAUCUUAAAGCAAGAAGACAGUGUUUGUUAUUAUUGAAAGACAUAGGAUAAGAAGCAAUGACAGAAAACAAAUAUCACCAUACCGCCUUGUCUUUAAUAUUUCCAACAGCUGACAGUCCGAUGUAAGCCAGAUUCACAUGUAAGAAAUAUCUGCAGAAGGAAGAACCAAUGAUGGUAGAUCCACGACAGUCCCGGCACAAGCACACAUGGCAUCACCACAGCCCCGACACAAGCCUUGUUAAACAGAUUAGAUAUAAACUGACAUGUAUAUUAUUAUACCCUCAUGUACAGAGUACAUGGGAUAUAUUGGAGUCACAAAUGUCAGAAGGCCCAUUCUUCCGUUCGCCUAUCUGUCCAUCAUCUCCGCUGGGAAGAUUAAAAAACUGGCUUCUUUUAUUAGCCUCAACAGGAAUGUUCGUUGUGCACAACCCAAAUCACUAGGCACAAAGUCAGUAUUACUUUUGGAGGACAAAGUUCAAAUAACUUUAAUUUAGUGUCCGCUCCAUAUAUGUCUAAACGAAUAUUUAGGUCAAGCAUUCGUUAUUGUACUCGCCCUGCCUGCAGGGUCACUGUCACCGUUGCAUUCAGGUUAAAAGUUUAUAUGAUUCUCAAAGUCACUAUAUUUUCUUAACAACUGCCUAUAUUAGCAUCAAACUUCACAUAAGGGUUGAUUGUGGUAAAACGGAGACAUUUAUUUGUUAGGGGUAAACCAUCCAAAAGGUCAAAAUUACUGGGGUCAUAUUUUGUAAUUGUGCUGGUUAAAUCUUAGAUUGUUUCUUAUAUCUUCUUAUACACCCGCUCCUACUCCCUACCAUAACCCACCCCAUAAAAAGGAAAAGAGUCUUUUUGUUUCAUCAUUCACGCUUACUUAUAUCCUAUAACAAUAAAUAUUGGUCAGCAUUCCCGAAUAGUCACGCGGGCUUUUUUACAACAGUUCUUGAUAUAAAAUUAGAAUAGUAAAUAUAUGUUAGCACUCACAACCUAGUUCAUUGGGUCAGUGGUCAAGUUCAGACUUAAAAGACCUCAUCAUAUUGUCUAAUCUAAUAAAGUAAGCACUAACUGUCAAUUCCAUUUAGCCGAAAUACGAAAAGCACAACACAUGCCACUAGGUUAAAGGUCAGUGUGACAUAUAAGAGAUCAAAGGUCAAAUAGGUUUGUGUCUGCUACAUAUCUUGUAACCCCAUUUUCCUUACACCCAUAAAACUAGCAAUAAAUAUCAAGAAGACCUGUAUAGAACCAAGAUUAUUAAGUCCAAGGUGGUCAAGGUUUCACUUGAAUGUCAAAAUGAUGACAACAUUGACUUACCCUGCAUCAAAGCAGCGUCUGGGGGUAACAAUAGCUCUAGUUUAUCAUUGUUAGCGGACUAAAUUUGAAUUGUAUCAACCAUUUGACAAAUAUUUCCUAAAUUUUAAGAUAAAUAUUUUAAACAAAAAUCUGGAAAUUGUUUUUUAACAUUGAUACAGUCAGACUAUUUUCAGACACAGCGAAUAUUUAUGUCUCCCCCAGGAGACAUAUUGUUUUUGCCCUGUCCGUCCGUCCGUCUGUCCGUCCGUCCGUCCGUACGUCACACUUCAUUUCCGAGCAAUAACUGGAGAACCAUUUGACCUAGAACCUUCAAACUUCAUAGGGUUGUAGGGCUGCUGUAGUAGACGACCCCUAUUGUUUUUGGGGUCACUCCGUCAAAGGUCAAGGUCACAGGGGCCUGAACAUUGAAAACCAUUUCCGAUCAAUAACAAGAGAAUCACUUGACCCAGAAUGUUGAAACUUCAUAGGAUGAUUGGUCAUGAAGAGUAGAUGACCCCUAUUGAUUUUGGGGUCACUCCGUCAAAGGUCAAGGUCACAGGGGCCUGAACAUUGAAAACAAUUUCCGAUCAAUAACUAGAGGACCACUUGACCCAGAAUGUUGAAACUUCAUAGGAUGAUUGGUCAUGAAGAGUAAAUGACCCCUAUUGAUUUUGGGGUCACUCCGUCAAAGGUCAAGGUCACAGGGGCCUGAACAUUGAAAACCAUUUCCGAUCAAUAACUAGAGAACCACUUGACCCAGAAUGUUGAAACUUCAUAAGAUGAUUGGCCAUGAAGAGUAGAUGACCCCUAUUGAUUUUGGGGUCACUCCAUUAAAGGUCAAGGUCACAGGGGCCUGAACAUUGAAAACAAUUUCCGGCCAGUAACUUGAGAACCACUUGACCCAGAAUGUUGAAACUUAAUAGGAUGAUUGCUCAUGCAGAGUAGAUGACCCCUAACUAUUUGGGGUCACUCUAUGAAAGGUCAAGGUCAAAGGGGCCUGAACAUUGAAAACCAUUUCCGGUCAGUAACUUGAGAACCACUUGACCCAGAAUGAUGAAACUUCAUAGGAUGAUUGGUCAUGCAGAGUAGAUGACCUCUAACGAUUUUAGGGUGACUCUGUUAAAGGUCAAUGCCACAGGGGCCUGAACAUGGAAAACCAUUUCCAGUCAAUAACUUGAGAACCUCUCGACCCAGAAUGUUGAAACUUCAUAGGAUGAUUGUUCAUGCAUAGUAAAUGACCCCUGUUGUUUUUGGGGUCACUCCGUUAAAGGUCAAGGUCACAGAGGCCUGAACAUUGAUAACCAGCUCCGAUCAAUAACUUGAGAACCACUUGACCCAGAAUGUUGAAACUUCAUAAGAUGAUUGAACAUGCAGAGUAGAUGACCCCUAUUGAUUUUGGGGUCAGUCUAUUAAAGGUCAAGGUCACAGUGGCCUGUUCAUGUAAAAUCAUUUUUUGGAAAUAACUUGAGAACCACUUGACCUACAAUGUUGAAACUUAAUAGGAUGAUUGGACAUGCAGAGUAGAUGACCCCUAUUUAUUUUGAGGUCACUUGAUCAAAGGUCAAGGUCACAGGAGCCUGAACAGUGACUUGAGAACCACUAGGCCAAGAGUGUUGAAAUUUAGCGGGAUGACUGGACAUGCCAAGUAGAUGAUCCCUAUUGCAGCCAACCAUCAGUGUCUCUUUGACUUUCGCUCCUGACCCCUAUUGACUUCUUGCCUAUAGGACUUUGCAUUGGGGGAGACAUGCGCUUUUUUAAAAAAAGCAUUUUCUAGUUUAGCUUGGUUUGUUGUCAGUCAUGAUUUUAUGCAAGGUAUUUUUCUAAAUGAUAUUUUUGUUGCAAAUAGCACAUUUGACAUUAAUGUUACUUUAUUAAAUCAGGGACAGCUAAUUUUUGUAAGAAUAAAAAUACAUGAUUUGGUUAACUAUUUCAAAAAGUGUCAAAUUUUUUUGCUCUUUUGAACAGUUGCGUUUUAACUUCUCAGGGAUAGUUUCAAAUAUGAAUAUGUGUAUAAAAAGCUACUUUUCGCAAAUUGUAUAGUUUAUAGAGGGGGCUGAAUUCCAAACUCUCAUAUAUUUUAAAAAAUAUAGAGGACAAUUUUUUUAUUUCAGUGUAAGCUCGAAAUAGAAACAUUCUAGUGUUCACACGUGAAAACUUUUAAAAAAUAAUCACACGAAUUUUAUUCUAAUGCAUUUAAUCAUUAUUUUUGUUUUAUAUUUUCUGCCAACGUAACGCCAUACGCAAUGUGCAACGUUACUCUACAUUUAAUGGCAAUAUAUAUGUUGGAAAAAAGUGACAUAGUGACAUUUUAAUUUACAUGUAGUUAUGUUUUAGUUAAAACGAUAUCCGAUUCUAGGUUAUUCAUAUUCUUGCGUUAAAUUGUGGUUACAAACAAGUGAAAAUUAUAUUUGGAUUUCCCACCUUUAAACAAUGGCUUUAUCAGGGUAUAAUGCACCGUUGUUUUCUUGAAACCUUCUCAAAAUAUGAUAUAUAAUUACAUAUGUUAGUAACUGCAGAAUGUACUCUUAAGACUGUAAUUCUUUUAUUCAAACUCCAUUCUAGUCCUUUGUCUGGGUCAUCUACAUGUUGCUUUUAAAAGUCAUUUGGCCUCAUUUUUGUACACUGAAUUUUACACAGUUUGGCAUAACUUUUAACCAACACUUAACUCUGAGCACUAACCUUAACCAUUUUGGGCUGAAGUGACUUUUAAAGCAACUUUUAUGGGAACAAGACUAGCAUAUCUAUAUAAAUGAUGGAUAAAAAAAAUGUUGGCAAACUUUCAGGUUUUUAGCCUACGCUUUUAAUGGAGCGUUAGAUUAUAACAUGAUAAAUUCAUUGUUUUAAACGGAGAGAAAUCCAAAUAUGAUGUCCACUAGAACGAAACUACACUUUAACGCGGAAGGAUAUGAAUUGUAAGGACGUGAAAUAUGCUUAAAAGCAACAAAGCUGUAUAGUAAUACUUUCAAUAAACUAAAAUACACGAGAAAAUAAUUGAAAUAUAAAAGAUUCUUAUACAACUCUUAGACCUAUUGAACUUAUUUUCCAACAUAAGCAUUGUGACGUAAUGAAAUGUAGCGUAACGUUACCCUUGGCGCAUGUCUUUGCAUGGCUGAAUAAGAAAAGAUAAUAUGAAAAAUAAUUAGUUUAACUCGGCAAGACAUUUAAGUUAAGAAUUAGAUAUGAAUGUUUCAACAUGGGUUAUUUUCACUUGGGAACACUAGAUUUAAGUUCACUCGGUGCUGAAAUAAACGAAUGUCUUCUAUACCUUUACAAUUGCAAAUGGGUAAAACUUAAGAUGACAGAAAUAACUAAAACAAUCCCUUACUAUUUUGAAAUGACAGUCAAAGUUUCAUUUUUGGUGCAAAUAUUGUUAUACUGAUUUAUUAUUGAUAUACAUUUUGUACCUUGUAUUGUAGUAACGUAGAUACUUCGAAAUAUAAUUCCAAGCUUACCAUUUUUUCUCAAGGAGUUGAAUUCAAUGAAAUUUUGUACAUAUCGUUUCAAAAUAUAAAAUAAUAGUAUUUUUAGAAGUAUUUUUAUUGUUUUAACACUGUAGUUAUACUUUUUAAAUGUUAUUUGCGAUUAUUUUUUAUAUUUUAUUUCUCUUUGAAAAAUGAAUAAAAUUCCAUACGAUUGUGUUGAUUGUUUUAGUUUAAGAAAUAAAAGGUCAUACAAUUGCAUUAGUUAUUGAUGUUUCGGAAAUCAAAAAUGACUUUCCUUUAGUAUCUCCUUUAGUACUUACCGUCACACCGUACGCAAAAUGCAGGUGUGUUCAGUUGGUCAUACUUUAUCCAGAAAAUAUCCUUAUUGAUAUGCCUUUUGUCGACCACCAAUGGUAUUUCACCUUGACGCCAUUUGAAAAAUAAACUG